CCUAACCCACUAUUCAUUUCUAACCCAUUCUGUCUAAAUAAACACAAUGAUAAAGAUUAAACUCUUUCUAAUCAAAUUGUUGCAAAUUCAUUCUCAAAUCGCUAAACACCAAACAUAUAAGGGAAUAGCGUUCUUUCCACAACCCCCUAACCAAGUUUAACGAAAAUCAUUAAACACCAUCCACUUUGCUAUCUUUUGGCGAUCCCUCACAAAUACACACACUAUCUUCUUAGCUGACGAUCCUCAUGCCGAUCCUUGUGUGCGCUACUACUGGUCAAAACGCAACAACCAUAUCGUAAAAAUUGUACAUCAUUAGUUAUUAGUAAUUGUUUUGGAAUACGAAUAAUUAAUUCUCCAACUCUAUUCUUAAAACAACGAAUUACACUGUACCGCCUUACAUCGAAAUUCAGAGGGUAGAACAGGGCAAAGCAAAGCAAGGCAGAGUAAAGCACAGUAGAGAGACAAAGGAGAAAGAGGAAAAAUAGCAUGAGGAAACACUUUCGCCCGACGUUCAACAGCCUCAAUCAUGCCUUUUCGUGCCACAAAACAAGGGGAAAGACAUUCGUUCAUGCCUUGCAUAAUUCACUAAAAUCAAUGGCUCUGUAAUAUGAGCAAACCAUGUAGUAUCAAUGCUUCUCG